GUGCACGCUGGCGGUAGGCCUAACACAUGCAAGUCGAACGGCAGCACAGUAAGAGCUUGCUCUUACGGGUGGCGAGUGGCGGACGGGUGAGGAAUACAUCGGAAUCUACUUUUUCGUGGGGGAUAAUGUAGGGAAACUUACGCUAAUACCGCAUACGACCUACGGGUGAAAGCAGGGGAUCUUCGGACCUUGCGCGAUUGAAUGAGCCGAUGUCGGAUUAGCUAGUUGGCGGGGUAAAGGCCCACCAAGGCGACGAUCCGUAGCUGGUCUGAGAGGAUGAUCAGCCACACUGGAACUGAGACACGGUCCAGACUCCUACGGGAGGCGGCAGUGGGGAAUAUUGGACAAUGGGCGCAAGCCUGAUCCAGCCAUACCGCGUGGGUGAAGAGGGCCUUCGGGUUGUAAAGCCCUUUUGUUGGGAAAGAAAAGCAGCAGGUUAAUACCCCGCUGUUCUGACGGUACCCAAAGAAUAAGCACCGGCUAACUUCGUG
rnacentral:rRNA from 1 species